rnacentral:misc_RNA from 1 species
UUAGACCAUGUGUGCGAACAAUGCAGCUAGAAUUGCAACUUUAUAGUGGGUCCUUGGGCCUAUGGAGUGUUAGAAGGACGGCAGGUAGACCGGUGGUUGGCAAGCCGCGCGGGAUGGCGUGCAGAUGUGUUGCGCGACAGAACAGCUAUAGCGACAUCUAUACUAUUAAAGCAGAGCCAACAAGAAUAUUAAAAUAUUUAAUCACAGAGAUAGAUGCUGGGAAAAUGAAAUAUAAACGAAAAAAGUGACUAACGUGUGUAGCGGCGCAGGAGUCAAAGGACGACGCGAAUCGAGAGUGUCUUAUGUUGUUGUUUGCCUGGGGGCAUUGACACAGCCUUGACGCAUUAAACAUAGUGACAAAUAAACUCCGGGCAAAACAAUGUCGCCGUUACAUGCAACCGUCGAAUGAAGACGAAUUUGUCUUUUCCGACUCUCCCCCGACCAGUACAAAUAAACGAAUUCAAUCGCGAGCAGGACUGUACAUAUCGAGUAUCUAUCAGCUAGCAACCAAAUCAAUUAUCAGUUAGUCGCGCGAAACAGUAUCUAACAGUAUCUACACUAUCUGCGAGUAUCACGAGUAUCUAUCGAGUUAUGUGUAAGCAUUAACGAGUAUUUAUCCGCGAUUUCAUUUUGCGAUUUAUACUUUGUACUAACUAUUUACGUAUACAUUACAUAUACUGUACAUUAAUUUAUUAUUUUAAAUAUACUCGACGGUUUCAACUACGUGCAAUUUCGUCCUUUAAACCUCACGUACCAACUAUUCUCUACACAUAACAUCUACACGUGUGUCUUGCAUUAUAUAACGCUCGAUAGAUUUAUUCAAAGUUUUUGUUAAGUUUCUACAAACAUUUAAUUAAUAAAAACGUCGAGUUAACUUUUUAACCAGAGUUUUUGUCUAACACGUGUUUAUAUGGAAGUCAUUCGAUCACGUGUGUUUGUACGAUAUAAUAUUAUUCGUAUAUAUUUCACUAGGAUGUAGUAUAAUGCAUUUUCUAAUAACAAAGCACUACAUGUUUUAAAAUAACUAAGUACUGCUUGGUUCGAAACAACGUAUGACUAUGUAUAUCAAAACAAUACAGCACCAAGAACAUCGGAAAACCAUAAUAAUAUACAUUGCCGGAUAACUUAGAGCUACAUCCUUGCGUGCAAAACGUAUACGUACAAUAUUAAUUUUAAGACACGAAUAUACGAUUACUACAAGUUCCACUUUAACAUAUUUUGUUUUUAAACAACGCUAUAUCGCAG